UUCAUUUCAGUAAUUCAUAAAUUGCCUAACAAUGGUCAUAAGAGGAAAAAAAUUAUAAUAGCGUGCUGCUUUUGCAUUGAGUAGAGCUUUUCAUUGCAUAAAAAGAACAGGAAGAAAUGUUACAGGCUUCCUGCAAGGGAUCUGGGCAUGGAGUGAUAAUUAGAACUAUGUGGAAUGGAUUUCUUAUCCUGGAUCAAGGUUGUUUCUGGGAAUUGCAUGGAUGAUAGAUUAACCCUUUACUUUUAUUAGUUCGGACUCCGGCAAAUCCUUAUCCAAGCCAAACUCAAGUACUAAGCUUUGGCUCAUCGCACCACCGACCCCUCCUGUCUCUAUAUGUACAGAUACUCAUCGGAAGGCUGAUUCUCAGAAACAACGAAACCCAAGCUACUACAAAAAGAUGGCCAGGGACAAUAAUGGAGAAGCAGGAGACUUGUCCUUAAACAUGCUGCCAGAAGGGUGCAUAGCAAAUAUGCUGUCCUUUACAUGUCCUCAAGAUGCUUGCAGGCUGUCUGUUGUCUCUUCCUCGUUCAGGUCUGCUGCGGAAUCUAAUGUCGUUUAGGAGAGGUUCCUGCCCCAUGAUUGUCAAUCUAUCAUCUCUAAUUCUGACAAUCCUCUACUGGUUUCUUCUUCAACUUCUUCCAAGAAACAACUUUAUCUCAGCCUAUGCGACAAUCCUAUCCUCGUUGAGGAUGGUAAAAAGAACUUUUCAUUGGAAAAAACGAGUGGGAAGAAAUUAAAGCUAUAUGCUUUCAGCAAGGGAUCUCGAACUUGCAUGGAGUGAUGCUCCUGAAUAUUGGGAAUGAACUUCUGAUCCUGGCUCAAGGCACCUCUUCGUUUCACUCUCAUGAGUUUCCAUAACACAUUCACUGUUUCCUGCUUUUAUGGUUCUGAUACGUUUUCAUGGUUUCGGACACCACAGGUUUUCCGAAGUGGCUCAGCUUGUUUGGGUGUCUUGGCUUGAAAUCCGAGGCAAAAUCAAUACAAGCAUGCUAUCCCCGGCAACAUUGUACACGGCACACCUUGUAUUCGAAUUGGGUCCAUUUGUUUAUCUUUAAUUUUUGUGUUUGUGAUGCAAAAAAACAUAAUAUGCUCAAACUAUGUUUUUAUAUUGUGAGAUCCACUAAAAAAUUAAGUUUGAAA